rnacentral:rRNA from 1 species
AUUGAACGCUGGCGGCAGGCUUAACACAUGCAAGUCGAGCGGGGGAAGGUAGCUUGCUACCGGACCUAGCGGCGGACAGGUGAGUAAUGCUUAGGAAUCUGCCUAUUAGUGGGGGACAACAUCUCGAAAGGGAUGCUAAUACCGCAUACGUCCUACGGGAGAAAGCAGGGGAUCUUCGGACCUUGCGCUAAUAGAUGAGCCUAAGUCGGAUUAGCUAGUUGGUGGGGUAAAGGCCUACCAAGGCGACGAUCUGUAGCGGGUCUGAGAGGAUGAUCCGCCACACUGGGACUGAGACACGGCCCAGACUCCUACGGGAGGCAGCAGUGGGGAAUAUUGGACAAUGGGGGGAACCCUGAUCCAGCCAUGCCGAAUGUGUGAAGAAGGCCUUAUGGUUGUAAAGCACUUUAAGCGAGGAGGAGGCUACUUUAGUUAAUACCUAGAGAUAGUGGACGUUACUCGCAGAAUAAGCACCGGCUAACUCUGUGCCAGCAGCCGCCGUAAAAC